AAUCAUUAGCCUCUUAAUUAGAGGCUGGAAUGAAUGGUUUAACAUUUCCUUAACUUUUUUAAAAAUUAUAAACAAAUUUAUAUUAAAUAUAAAAAUAUAUUUAUAUAUAAACCAGACGACAAGACCCUUUCAAACUUUACUGUAGUUAAGCUGGGGUAGCUCAAUAAUUAAUAUCUUAUUAUUUUUUAAAAAAUAGACCCAGUUAAAAUUGAUCAAAUGAACAAGUUACUGAAGGGAUAACAGCAUAAUAAAUUUAUAUAGCUCUUAUUAAAAAAUUAGUUUAUGACCUCGAUGUUGAAUUAUAUUACUUCUACACGCAAGAGUGUGGAAAGUAGGUCUGUUCGACCUUUAAAUUUU
rnacentral:rRNA from 1 species